AUGAACGCUAGCGGCAGGCCUAAUACAUGCAAGUCGAACGGGGUAGCAAUACCCAGUGGCGCACGGGUGCGUAACGCGUAUGCAACCUACCUUGAACUGGGGGAUAGCCCGGAGAAAUCCGGAUUAAUACCGCAUAACACCAUAUGAUGGCAUCUGAGUGUGGUUAAAGAUUUAUCGGUUCGAGAUGGGCAUGCGUGCCAUUAGCUAGUUGGUGGGGUAACGGCCCACCAAGGCGACGAUGGCUAGGGGGUCUGAGAGGAUGGUCCCCCACACUGGCACUGAGAUACGGGCCAGACUCCUACGGGAGGCAGCAGUAGGGAAUAUUGGGCAAUGGGCGGAAGCCUGACCCAGCCAUGCCGCGUGCAGGAUGAAGGCCUUCUGGGUUGUAAACUGCUUUUACAGGGGAAGAAAAAGCCCAUGCGUGGGAAACUGACGGUACCCUGGGAAUAAGCACCGGCUAACUCCGU
rnacentral:rRNA from 1 species